rnacentral:lncRNA from 10 species
CUGCAUUUUUGUACAUUGCUUUGGGGGCUGGUUCUGAGGCUCUUUUUGAUCUGGAGACCCUAACAUCCUUUCCCUCUCUUUUCUCUUUCAGUUGCCUACAGAUCUGGAAGCCUUGCUGAAAAGACACCUUAAUGGCCUAGCAGCUCUUUUAGGCAAGGAGCAAUUCAGAUGUUGAAUGAUGGAACACAAAAACCCACAGCAGACAUGGUGGCUGAUGCUUGUAAUCCCAGCACUUUGCAAGGUUGAGGGAUCUUACAUAAAAAUCUGGAUUUGUGGCUUCAUUGGAAACAUCUGCAUGACCACAACUGCUGGAGCUGAGAGUCAGCUGCUUGUUCCUGAUCCCAAACCCCAUGACUCCUGGACACCUUCUGCCUCCUACCCCUUAUCUCCCUGGAUUCCCUGAGUGGCUUGCUGCUGGAGGCUGUGAGUACCUAGUUUAUAACCCCAGUUGAUAAAGUGCUUUCACCUGCUUCAUCUCAUUAGACUUUUACCUAUGAGGGAGGUGUUAGUAUUGUUCCCUUUACAGGAGAAGAAACUAAAGCUGAGAUGUUACAGGACCUACUCUGGGUUAGUAAUAACAGCAACCGCAAUAAAUAGUAAUUUGUACUGGCUGUUUACCAUGUGCCAGGCAUUAUUCUAAGCACUUUACAUGUUUAAUUUAAUUCUCUCAAUCUUAUCAGAUAUUGUCAUUAUUCCUAUUUUAUGAAUAAGGAAAUUGAGGUAGUGACAGGUCAAGUAGAUUUCCCAAAGUCACACAGCCAGAAAGCUCAAAAUAAACUGAAGACUUCUGGGUCCUAAUCCACACUUGUUCCAGAGUCCUGCAGUGCAGGCUUUCCUUCCUUUCUCUCUUUCUCUUCUUUAAAAUGGGUGAGUCUAUGGGGCCCAGCUUCUGGUAAGAGUUUGUAAGUGUUGUUUGGUGGGAGGGGUGGGCUCGUGUUUUGUAGGAUUUGUUCCCUGCUGCCUCCUCAGCACCUGCAACAAUGCCUGGCAUGUGGCAAGAGCACAAGAAAGAGUGAAAGCCAAUGGCAACAGGGCAACAUCGGCAGCUUUCAGGGCUCCAGUGUCUCUAAUGAUUGGCACACGGGCGAAGACCUACUACGUGGCAUGCAGUGGGUGGGCUCCCAGCUCUUGAGCAGCUCAAGUCCAGACAAAAGAAUGUGCACAGGUUUCGGCCUCCGGCACCCAUUGCUGGGCCCUUGUUACAAGCAGCCUGUGCAUCUGAGGAGGCCUAAGCCUGAGCUGCCGCACACAUCCCCAUCCCUGAAGACCAGAGAGCACCAUGAUGCCAGGGGUCCCUGCGCCUCCUGGAAGUGAAGAAUGUUGCUGCAGCUCCAAGCUCGUAGGGUAAGUCUGUGGGAAUAAAUCCAGGAGGACCUUCAGGGAGAUUCCAAUGAACUCCUGGUUAUUCUGAUUCUUUGGAAAAUGAAAUUUUCUGGUUAAUUGAACUUCUUGACUGGCUGAAUCCAGUCUAAAUGCCUUCAAAUAGACCCCUACCUGGCACACCAUCAUGCUUCCCUUUUGUUUUGUCAGUUUGUUUGUUUUAAAUAAGGAGUUUCUCUCUGUCAUCCAUGCUAUAGUGUAGUGGCAUGAUCCUAGCUCACUGUGGCCUCCAACUCCUGGA